GCCCUCGGGUGGGGGCGGGAAGCCGGUCCGCUGUCAGGCUCCCAGGUGCUGACCCUCUGGGAGCCGCGGAGGAGGAAGGAAGGUAAAAAAAAAAAAAGAGCGGCAAAGACUGGCUGGGGUUGCGGGAAAGCGAGCGGGGCGUUCUGGAAGAUCUGGCUGCGGCUCGCCAUGUUUGAUCCUGGCAAGAGCGAAAGGAUCCAGUUAGAAUACCUUCCUCCUGCCCAAACUAAUAAACCACGUGCCGACCUUUUGCUUUUUAUUGGCUGCUGAUGACUGGUCAGAAAAUGUUAAAGAACUUUAGAGUUUCUGCCGUGGAGACACAAAAGUCCGGGACGUUUUUUAGAACUCUGUGAUCAGAGAAGAAGAGAUUGCUAAAUAGGAAAUAAUUACGGGAAUGAUGCAAGACAGGCUAUUAUCAAGUUCUGAAUUUUAAGGUGCAAAAUAGAAGUGUUGUAAAAGUUCACAGGCAGGGAAGAUUUGUGGCAGGUGUCGUCCAGAACUUGAAGGAUGACGGUCACCCACAAACACACACAUGUGUUGACAUUGUAUUAUUGCCAGUUUGGAGAUAGUGUUGGGGACAAUGGACAAAGUUAUACCCACGGGGCAAUAUGGAAAAAGACAACUGUUUGGUCAUUCUGACCCUGGAGCACCUUGAACUCCAGGUUAAAAAGAUUUUUUCCAUAGAGCAAAUGGUGUCAACAAUGAGUUGAUCACAGGAUAGGAAACUAUGAAUCAAACCAUUUGCUCUUCUUCCAGGUCCAACCAGUUGCUGGAACCAAGUUCCAAGAAGGCAGCUUCCUGAAAUAGGACUGGAGGAAAAACUCACAGAUAUACCGCGUGCAUUGCUGUAGCCCCAAAGUUGGACAAGGCAUUGUUUCUUUUUCAUGACUUUGCUUCUCCACCCUGAUUGAUUCACUCAGUUCUCCACCCUUUUCUUGUUUUUUUCUUUUUCUCUCCUAUACAUGUUUUCUAUUUGCCUGAGCUGAACAUGUUGAAAACUGAACUCAUAAUUUCCCUCCUCAGACCUGCUCAUCUUCAUUUAUUUGUUCGUCUCUGUUAGUGGCAUGAUGAGCAACCACCACUAAUCCCAGCCGGAAGCCUGCAACUCAUCUAGUCCAAACUCAGUCCUCCCUCACCCUCCCACCCCCAUCAGUACUGAAGUCUUUCAUAUGCUUAUUACCUCCUAAAAUUUAUUAGACCUGUCCCCUCCUCAGCAGCCUCUCUCUCAAACUAUUGGGGUAGCUGCCUGAUUAAUUUCUCUGCCCUUUGGCCUUGACAUUCUCAGGCUCCUCUGGGCUGCAGGGAUCUAAAUGCAAAUCUGAACAUGUCAACAUGUGUCUCUAUCAUGGACUCAGUCAAGGCAAAGCUCCUUAACCUAGAUAGAACACACCCAGCAGCAUCUGGCCGCUGCCUGACCUACCAUCUUCCUCUGUUUCUCCCUCCUUCUCUCUCCCACACUCUCCCUUUUGAUGGGCAAUUUAAGCUACUUGCAGUUCCCCAAACACUCCUAUGCUUUUUCACGCCACUGAACUUGUGCUUAUGUUUUUCCCUGUGCUUGGAACACCACCUGGUUGACCCUACUCAUCCUCAAAACACAACUCAGGAUUUACUUCCUCUUAGAAACAUUCCCAGAUCCCAUGUCUGCCCCCUAAGCCAGUACUUCUCAAAUCUUAAUGUGCACAUGAUUCAUCUAGGGAUCUCGUUAAAACUCAGACUCACAUUCAGUCAGUCUGGGCUGGAGCCAGAAAGUCUGCAUUUCUCAUGAGUUUCCAGGAGAUGCUGCUGCUGCUGGUCCAACUACACUUGAAGUAGCAAGGCUCUGGGCUCUAGCAAAAGCCCCUCCUCCUCUGAGUUCCUGGGCUAACCUCUGUGUGGCACUAUCUCCCCUGCAUUAAAUUCUUUGUAUAGAUUUCUGUCCUUCCACUUUUAAAGCUCAUUGAGAUUAGAACCAAGUCUUCUUUGUAUCCUAAGUGCCAAGUGCUUACAUUUACCAAGUAAAACUGAGCUCUCCCUGACCUUUUUAAAAUUUUUCUCAUCAUUGUUUUCCCUCCCAUUUACCUUUUGGCAAAGGAACUCUUUUGUAACCUGAGAUUUUCAGGUCUUGGCAUGACUGGAAGGAAAUAAACAUUGGGUCACUACAUUUGUGCGUCAUGUGCAUACACACGCACACACCCUUCUCUCCCCUGAGAGAAAACUGCCAGACAAAGAACUCCUAACUCCAGAAGAAAGCUGGCCUCGGCACAAACACAUGGAGAGCCGGAAGACAGACACAGCUCUCUUCUCCUCUUCCUUCCUGUUUCCUAGAUAGGAAGUGUUCUUACUGCGGCAGAUGGCCAGACCCCAGAGACACCUCAGAGUACCUGAGGGUUUACCAAGCUGUCCCUCAAUUCAUAUACUGAACCAAUAUUCAUAGAGCACCAACUAUGUGCCAAACAUGGUUUUCUGACUUCAUUGUAAGCUCUUUUCUACUCCCUACAGUCUAGCCAGGCUAUCCAGCCUGUUGCCUUUUUGUUAGGCUCAGAUUUUUACCCUGAGGGGCCAAUGGUUUGUGCAAAGUCUUAAGCCAUGUCAUCUUCCAUAUAUUUCAUAAUAGGUGGCAGGUUAGUAAAUGCCAGACCAGCAAAGUCUAUUGGAAAAUAGAAUAGGGUUUUUUAAGUGCAGAGGUAAAAAGGAUGUGUGAGCUGAGGCUCAGAGAAGAAUGAAGGAAAAGGAAGAAAUGAGGGGUCCGCCCAGGGCCUAAUCCUGAGGGACUUGUCAAAGAAGCCCCAACAUCCACUCCCCCGGACUUGAGAAGAGCUUGGCGAGUGGCCUCCCUGAGGACCCAGGGACCGCUGUUCCUCAUCUCGUAACCCUCUGCCUACAGACCUUCUGCUCCAACGACACAGGACCAUCUGCUGUUCCCCCAAACAAGCCAGUAUAGCCUGUAUGUGUAGCCUGUCAUCACUAUAUAUUAAGGGAGAGAAGCAUUAGCUAAAUUGCCACUAAUGAAAAACUUCAUCGGACUGAAAUUGAGUACCAGAGCUUCAUCUGUACAAAACCACAGCAUCCUACAACUAUUUUGGAGAGGAAUUCAUAAAUUCUUAGAGAGGGAAGUCAAGAACCAAGAAUCUCAUAGCAAAGCAGCUACUUAACAUAAACAAAGUUAUUCCUACUGAGGAUUCUGAGGACUCAUCAAAGGAGAGGUGAUUACAGAGCCACAGCAAUGGAAAUCUGCUGAAAACAGCUGGUGUGACAGUGCUGAAUGGGUGUGUUUUAUACAUAUGGGAAGAUGCCGCUCCCUGAUUUUAAUAUGCAACUUCAAAAAGAUGCAGGUGUCUCUAAAAGCUAAAAAGAAUAACAAUUAAAAUAAUAACUAACUUUUAUUAAGUCCUAUAUAUUAAUAAAUGUUCCAAAGCACUUUAUACAUAUUAACUCAUUUUUUUUGCCCAAUGAUCCUAUGAUGUAGGUACUAUCACCCCUAUUUUAAUGAUACAGAAACUGAGACGUAGAGAGGUAAAGUUACUUGCCCAAGGUCACACAGCUAAGAAAAGAGUAGAGCCAAAAUUCAAACCCAGGCAGCCUGGUUCCAGAGCCCAAGCUUGCAUCUCUAUCAUUCUGAAGUACCUACUGUGCUCCACUGAGCAGCUGUUGUGUGCCAGGAAUUUUGUGUGAGGAAGAUUGGCCCUGAGCUAG